rnacentral:ncRNA from 2 species
CAGGCGAACUGCGGCGUCUGCUGGCAAAACAUAGCUUCGGUUAUGUCAAUGGCUAUUGGAUUGGUCCAUGAAGCGAAAAAUAGUUUACUGUGUCACUCGUACCGAUAACCGCAUCAGGUCUUCUAGGUAAGUAGCCUAUGGCCAUUGAGGCAUGAUAGUUCAGGGAAUUCGGCCAAUUAGAGCUGUAACUUCGGGAUAAAGCUUGGCUCUGAUGAAAAUCAGAACCGAUUGUUACGCGGAGAGCCCAACUGUUUAAUAAAAACGUAGUGUCGCGCUGUGGUAGUAUAGCCAGUGAACGCGACAUGAAUCCUGCUCAGUGCUGUGUCUGUUAAUAUGGUUCAAGCCAACGAAGCACCGGUAAAUAGCUGGGGUAACUAUGACUCUUAUCAAAGUAGCGAAAUACCUCGUCACUUAAUUAGUGACCUGCAUGAACGGAGCUAUGAGGUUCUCACUGUCCCAAACUGUCUCUCAGCGAACCAACUGUAGUGGGAACGGUCACUAGAUAUCCAGCGGGGAAAGAAGACCCUGUAGAGCUUCACUUUGGUCUAGUCUUGUAUAGUUCCUGCGGGGGUGUAGACUAGGUGGGAGAGCAAUCGAUUCUGAAAAACCACUACCCUGUUUGGAAUUAUGCUUACCUAUCACAAGGAAUAGGACUAGAUAGAAAGUUUGGCUGGGGCGGCACACCUUCGAAAGAGCAGCGAAGGUGUCCUAAGUUGAGCUCAGUGAGGACAGAAAUCUCACGUUGAGGAUAAGGCCAAAAGCUCAAUUUACUGUGCCUUUUUGUACUAGGAUCAGUUACGAAAGUAAGGCCUAACGAUCCCUAAAUAGCCUCAGGUGCGUGAGGAUUGGGGUGACAGACAAGUUACCUCCGGGACAACUGGCUUGUGGCUGCUAAGAGAUCAAAUCAACGCAGCUUUUUGAUUCUUCGAUGUCGGCUCUUCCUAUCCUAGUGAUGUACAAGUUGCUAAGGGUCGGAUUGUUCACCCGUAUUAGGGAU